rnacentral:tRNA from 1 species
CGGGGUGUGGCCCAAUGGUAAGGCGCUUGGUUUGGGACCAAGAUCGCGCAGGUUCGAUUCCUGUCACUCCGA